AUUGAACGCUGGCGGCAUGCUUUACACAUGCAAGUCGAACGGUAACAGGCCGCAAGGUGCUGACGAGUGGCGAACGGGUGAGUAAUGCAUCGGAACGUGCCCAGUCGUGGGGGAUAACGCAGCGAAAGCUGUGCUAAUACCGCAUACGAUCUGUGGAUGAAAGCGGGGGACCGUAAGGCCUCGCGCGAUCGGAGCGGCCGAUGUGAGAUUAGGUAGUUGGUGGGGUAAAGGCACACCAAGCCGACGAUCUGUAGCUGGUCUGAGAGGACGACCCGCCACACUGGGACUGAGACAAGGCCCAGAAUCCUACGGGAGGAAGCAGUGGGGAAUUUUGGACAAUGGGGGCAAGCCUGAUCCAGCAAUGCCGCGUGAAGGAAGAAGGCAUUCGGGUUGUAAACUGCUUUUGUACGGAGCGAAAAGGCUCUCUCUAAUACAGGGGGCUCAUGACGGUACCGUAAGAAUAAGCACCGGCUAACUACGUGCCAGCCGCCGCCGUAACAC
rnacentral:rRNA from 1 species